GCAUAAUCAUUUGCCUCUUAAUUAGAGGCUAGCAUGAAUGGAUAAACGAGAUUAUAGCUGUCUCCUUUACACCUAUAAAAAUUAAUCUACAGGUGAAGAAACCUGUAUUCAUAUAAAAGACAAGAAGACCCUGUCGAGCUUUAAUUAUUUUAUAAGAUAUCCUAACACACUCCCAAAUUCCCUCCCUUAUAAAUAAUUUUUGUUGGGGCGACAAUGGAGAAUACAAAACCUCCGCCACACCUAAAACACCAAGUUUCCUCAAAGAUCCUUUAAUAGAUAACAGGCAUCAGCUACCGCAGGGAUAACAGACUAAUCUUCCUUAAGAGCCCAAAUCUACAGGAAGGCUUGG
rnacentral:rRNA from 1 species